rnacentral:rRNA from 1 species
AAUGGGCGCAAGCCUGAUCCAGCCAUUCCGCGUGCAGGAUGAAGGCCCUCGGGUUGUAAACUGCUUUUGUACGGAACGAAACGGUGCUCUCUAAUACAGGGCGCUAAUGACGGUACCGUAAGAAUAAGCACCGGCUAACUACGUGCCAGCAGCCGCGGUAAUACGUAGGGUGCAAGCGUUAAUCGGAAUUACUGGGCGUAAAGCGUGCGCAGGCGGUUUUGUAAGACAGGUGUGAAAUCCCCGGGCUUAACCUGGGAACUGCACUUGUGACUGCAAAGCUGGAGUGCGGCAGAGGGGGAUGGAAUUCCGCGUGUAGCAGUGAAAUGCGUAGAUAUGCGGAGGAACACCGAUGGCGAAGGCAAUCCCCUGGGCCUGCACUGACGCUCAUGCACGAAAGCGUGGGGAGCAAA